rnacentral:tRNA from 1 species
AUCUAUAUAAUAUAAAAAGUAUAUUUGACUUCCAAUCAUAAAGUCUAUAAAAUAAUAGUAUAGAUA